rnacentral:rRNA from 1 species
UACGGAGGUCUCAAGCGUUGUUCGGAUUCAUUGGGCGUAAAGGGCGCGUAGGCGGCGGGGUAAGUCUGGUGUGAAAUCUAGGAGCUCAACUCCUAAACUGCACUGGAUACUGCUCUGCUAGAGGACUGGAGAGGAGACUGGAAUUCACGGUGUAGCAGUGAAAUGCGUAGAUAUCGUGAGGAAGACCAGUGGCGAAGGCGGGUCUCUGGACAGUUCCUGACACUGAGACAGCGGAAGGC